rnacentral:rRNA from 1 species
UGGGGAAUAUUGGACAAUGGGCGAAAGCCUGAUCCAGCCAUGCCGCGUGUGUGAAGAAGGUCUUCGGAUUGUAAAGCACUUUAAGUUGGGAGGAAGGGCAUUAACCUAAUACGUUAGUGUUUUGACGUUACCGACAGAAUAAGCACCGGCUAACUCUGUGCCAGCAGCCGCGGUAAUACAGAGGGUGCAAGCGUUAAUCGGAAUUACUGGGCGUAAAGCGCGCGUAGGUGGUUUGUUAAGUUGGAUGUGAAAGCCCCGGGCUCAACCUGGGAACUGCAUCCAAAACUGGCAAGCUAGAGUACGGUAGAGGGUGGUGGAAGUUCCUGUGUAGCGGUGAAAUGCGUAGAUAUAGGAAGGAACACCAGUGGCGAAGGCGACCACCUGGACUGAUACUGACACUGAGGUGCGAAAGCGUGGGGAGCAAACA